AUGGUUCAAGAACGAGCUGAUUACAAGUCACUUGACCCCGCUGAUAUCCUCGAGAGGCUAAAUACUCAUGAGUUCCAGCUUGCUGAAAAGAGAGAUAUCUAUGGAUCGAGCUACGGAAGAUCACGUGCACUGAAGGCCAAGGCAGUAUCUGAGUCCGAAGCUGAGGAUAUUGGUAGCAGCCUUGGUGAUCCUGAAGAACUGAGCAAGGAGCUAGCAAUGCUCGUGAGGAAAUUCCAGAAGUUCUCUCGCCGUGGCCGCUUUGGAAAGUCUUCAAGAAAUGAUGAUUCCUCAUCUCGUGACUACAAGAAGAGAGAUUUCCACAAAUGCAAGAAACCUGGUCACUACAUGUUUGAUUGUACUCUGUGGGAAAAGGAAUCAAAGAAGAAGAAGUACAAAGAUGAUGACUCCGACGAUUCAAAGAAGAAGAAGAAAUCCUCAAAGUCUUCAUCAUCAAAAUCCUCAAAGUCUUCAUCUCACAAGAAGAGCAGCUCCAAGAAGGCCCGGGCAUUCAUUGGCAAGGAAAUGGACUCUAAAGCGGAAUCUUAG
rnacentral:rRNA from 1 species